CAGCCGUAAACAAUGUGCGUUAGGUGUGUCGGUAACCACGUGUUACUGAUGCGCCGAAGGGAAACCGUGAAACGUGCCGCCUGGGAAGUACGGUCGCAAGGCUGAAACUUAAAGGAUUGGCGGGGGGAGCACCACAACAGGUGGAGCCUGCGGUUUAAUUGGACUCAACGCCGGGAAGCUCACCGGAUAGGACAGCAGAAUGAUUGCCGGGCUGAAGACCCUGCAUGACUAGCUGAGAGGAGGUGCAUGGCGUAGACGUCU
rnacentral:rRNA from 1 species